rnacentral:rRNA from 1 species
AUUGAACGCUGGCGGCAUGCCUUACACAUGCAAGUCGAACGGUAACGCGGGGCAACCUGGCGACGAGUGGCGAACGGGUGAGUAACGCAUCGGAACGUGCCCAGUAGUGGGGGAUAGCCCGGCGAAAGCCGGAUUAAUACCGCAUACGACCUACGGGUGAAAGGGGGGGAUCGCAAGACCUCUCGCUAUUGGAGCGGCCGAUGUCAGAUUAGGUAGUUGGUGGGGUAAAGGCCUACCAAGCCGACGAUCUGUAGCUGGUCUGAGAGGACGACCAGCCACACUGGGACUGAGACACGGCCCAGACUCCUACGGGAGGCAGCAGUGGGGAAUUUUGGACAAUGGGCGAAAGCCUGAUCCAGCCAUGCCGCGUGCGGGAAGAAGGCCUUCGGGUUGUAAACCGCUUUUGUCAGGGAAGAAAUCUUCUGGGUUAAUACCUCGGGAGGAUGACGGUACCUGAAGAAUAAGGAUCGGCUAACUCCGUGCCAGCAGCCGCGGUAA